rnacentral:rRNA from 1 species
GAUGAACGCUAGCUACAGUCUUAACACAUGCAAGUCGAGGGACCGGCGCCCGUGUGAUUUACACGUAUCCAACCUGCCCUUUCCUCGUGGAUAGCCUUUCGACAGAAAGAUUAAUACCCGAUAUAAAGGAUGGGGAUGCGUUCCAUUAGGUUGUUGGUGAGGUAACGGCUCACCAAGCCUUCGAUGGAUAGGGGUUCUGAUAGGAAGGUACACAACAUUGGAACUGAGACACGGUCCAAACUCGUACGGGAGGCAGCAGUGAGGAAGAGUGGUCAAUGGGGGCUAGCAUGAACCAGCCAAGUAGCGGCAAGGAAGAAGGAUUAUGGGUCGGAAACUUCUUUUAUAUAAGAAGAAAUAUGAUAUGAAUAAGGAUCGGCUAACUCCGUGCCAGCAGCCGCGGUAAUAC